AAAUUAAUGGUUACUCAUACUUUCUGCAUUAUUCAUGCAUAGACACAGGCAGACAGUGGAUGAUUCCAGAGUACUGGAAACCCUGAGAUAGCAAAUAAAUAGCACCAAUCAGCUGACUCUAUGGCUGUAACCCACCAGAUGAUUUGCAGGUUAUUCUGAGUCCUACUUUGGGUGCAAACCCUUACCGGUGCUCCCUGCUGCCCUCAACGAUUCUGGCAGAAAACCAGUAAUUAUUCUGUUUCCUGUGGGUCUCAUGUUUGAACCUUUGUAGAAUGUUCUGUCUGGCUAGCCACUGCCCGUCUGCACUCAGACUGCUGAGUGACCUCCUACUCAUGACCUCACCUCAUGGAGGCAGAGGAGACCUGGAUAAAUCUGGAAUGGAGACAGAGCCAAUAAUCAAUAGUUGGGACAGGCUGGUACAGAAAGAGAGACAAAGAGCAGGAGGUCACUGAUGUCUGGAAACAGGAAGCUCAGAGAAGAUACAAUCAGUGUCUGUGAAGGCUGUGUAAGAGAGAAGGUCGAGAAUGAUAAAUGAAAUCAUGAAUAAAAACGUGCACGUGAAUGUUGGGAAGAAGAGAGCAGGAUGGUGGACAGACAUGCUCCCACAAUGCUUCCCUGGACCACCAUGUGUGAGAUGAAAGGGCCGCCGUGUGAGGGAGACCCGUGUGAGGAUGCCCUUGGUCGCUUUUGAGUCUGCUGUCUCUCCCACACCGUCGACGUGGAAGGAAGACUUUGUCUGCACACCUCUUGGAGUCACCUGUUUCAUGGAACUGACUUACCUUUGGAGCCUUAGUGUCCCUUCCUCCUAAGGCAGGGAUUUCUCUG